rnacentral:rRNA from 1 species
AGCAGCCGCGGUAAUUCCAGCUCCAAUAGCGUAUAUUAAAGUUGUUGCAGUUAAAAAGCUCGUAGUUGAAUUUCGGGAUCAAUAUUUCGGUCAUGCCGUUGGUAUGCACUGUUAUCAUUGAUUUCUCACCUUCUAAAGAACCGUGAUGCCAUUAAUUUGGUGUUACGGGGAAUUAGGACUGUUACCUUGAAAAAUUAGAGUGUUUAAAGCAGGCUCACGCUUGAAUACAUUAGCAUGGAAUAAUGAAAUAGGACGUUUGAUUCUAUUUUGUUGGUUUCUAGGAUCGACGUAAUGAUUAAUAGGGAUAGUUGGGGGCAUUAGUAUUCAAUUGUCAGAGGUGAAAUUCUUGGAUUUAUUGAAGACUAACUACUGCGAAAGCAUUUGCCAAGGAUGUUUUCAUUAAUCAAGAACGAAAGUUAGGGGAUCGAAGACGAUCAGAUACCGUCGUAGUCUUAACCAUAAACUAUGCCGA